rnacentral:rRNA from 1 species
AGCGAACGCUGGCGGCAGGCCUAACACAUGCAAGUCGAACGAGGUCUUCGGACCUAGUGGCGGACGGGUGAGUAACACGUGGGAACGUGCCCUUUGGUACGGAAUAACUCAGGGAAACUUGAGCUAAUACCGUAUGUGCCCUUCGGGGGAAAGAUUUAUCGCCAUUGGAGCGGCCCGCGUCUGAUUAGCUAGUUGGUGAGGUAAUGGCUCACCAAGGCGACGAUCAGUAGCUGGUCUGAGAGGAUGACCAGCCACAUUGGGACUGAGACACGGCCCAAACUCCUACGGGAGGCAGCAGUGGGGAAUCUUGCGCAAUGGGCGAAAGCCUGACGCAGCCAUGCCGCGUGGAUGAUGAAGGUCUUAGGAUUGUAAAAUCCUUUCACCGGUGAAGAUAAUGACUGUAGCCGGAGAAGGAGCCCCGGCUAACUUCGUGCCAGCCGCCGCGGUAAAAC